UACGUAGGGGGCAAGCGUUAUCCGGAUUUACUGGGUGUAAAGGGAGCGUAGACGGCAGCGCAAGUCUGGAGUGAAAUCCCAUGGCUUAACCAUGGAACUGCUUUGGAAACUGUAUGGCUGGAGUGCAGGAGAGGUAAGUGGAAUUCCUAGUGUAGCGGUGAAAUGCGUAGAUAUCACGCAGAACCCCGAUUGCGAAGGCAGCAUACCGGUGCACAACUGACGCUCAGGCACGAAAGCAUGGGUAGCGAACAGG
rnacentral:rRNA from 1 species